AGCCAGACUCUAGCCCAACCACACUGGACAAACCAAAAAGCCAAAAACUCACUGCACAACUAGACUAAAACAUUCUCCAAACUUAGUAUAGGUGAUAGAAAAGACACCCACCUGGCGCGAUAGAAACCCGUACCGUAAGGGAAAGAUGAAAUAACAAUGAAAAGCCUAAGCAACAAACAGCAAAGAUAAACCCUUGUACCUCUUGCAUCAUGAUUUAGCAAGAACAACCAAGCAAAAUGAGUUUAAGUUUGCCCCCCCGAAACCCAAGCGAGCUACUUACAAGCAGCUACCUAUUGAGCGAACCCGUCUCUGUUGCAAAAGAGUGGGAUGACUUGUUAGUAGUGGUGAAAAGCCAAUCGAGCUGGGCGAUAGCUGGUUGCCUGUGAAAUGAACCCAAGUUCUCUCUUGAUUUUCCCCCCAUGGACACCCCACCUAACCCCCACGUAGUAAAUCAAGAGCAAUUUAAAGGGGGUACAGCCCCUUUAAAAAAGGACACAACCUUCCCUAGCGGAUAAGCCACCCAACCAUCACUCCAAACCUGUGGGCCCUCAAGCAGCCACCAACAAAGAAUGCGUCAAAGCUCUACACCAAAAAAUUCAAAAUACAAUCCGAAUCCCUUGCCACCAACAGGCCAACCUAUGAAAAUAGGAGAAUCUAUGCUAAAAUGAGUAACUUGGGGCCUCCCCUCUCAAGCACAAACUUACAUCCAACCAUUAUUAACACAGAACAGCUAAUACAACAACCCCAACAAGACCAGAUAUUAGACCCACCUUGUUAAUCCAACUCAGGAGUGCCCAUUAGAAGGAUUAAAAUCUGUAAAAGGAACUAGGCAAACCCAAGGCCCGACUGUUUACCAAAAACAUAGCCUUCAGCCAACCAAGUAUUGAAGGUGAUGCCUGCCCAGUGACACCACGUUUAACGGCCGCGGUAUCCUAACCGUGCAAAGGUAGCGCAAUCAAUUGUCCCAUAAAUCGAGACUUGUAUGAAUGGCUAAACGAGGUCUUAACUGUCUCCUACAGACAAUCAGUGAAAUUGAUCUCCCUGUGCAAAAGCAGGAAUAAGUACAUAAGACGAGAAGACCCUGUGGAACUUAAAAAUCAGCGGCCACCGCACACAAACCCAAACCUACCAGGCCCACUAGCUCCCACAAACACUGGCCUACAUUUUUCGGUUGGGGCGACCUUGGAGAAAAGCGAACCCUCCAAAAAUAAGACCACACCUCUUAACCGAGAGCAACUCCUCAACGUGCUAACAGCAACCAGAUCCAAUAUAAUUGACCAAUGGACCAAGCUACCCCAGGGAUAACAGCGCAAUCUCCUUCAAGAGCCCGUAUCGACAAGGAGGUUUACGACCUCGAUGUUGGAUCAGGACAUCCUAGUGGUGCAACCGCUACUAAGGGUUCGUUUGUUCAACGAUUAACAGUCCUACGUGAUCUGAGUUCAGACCGGAGCAAUCCAGGUCGGUUUCUAUCUAUGACAGACUCUUCCCAGUACGAAAGGACCGGAAAAGUGAGGCCAAUACCACAAGCACGCCUCCCUCCUAAGCAAUGAGCCCAACUAAACUACCAAAGGAGCAUUCACACCUACCACCCAUCCUAGAAAAGGACCG
rnacentral:rRNA from 1 species